rnacentral:rRNA from 1 species
CCUACGGGUGGCAGCAGUGGGGAAUAUUGCACAAUGGGCGAAAGCCUGAUGCAGCAACGCCGCGUGAGCGAUGAAGGCCUUCGGGUCGUAAAGCUCUGUCCUCAAGGAAGAUAAUGACGGUACUUGAGGAUGAAGCCCCGGCUAACUACGUGCCAGCAGCCGCGGGAAUACGUAGGGGGCUAGCGUUAGCCGGAAUUACUGGGCGUAAAGGGGGCGUAGGUGGUUUCUUAAGUCAGAGGUGAAAGGCUACGGCUCAACCGUAGUAAGCCUUUGAAACUGGGAAACUUGAGUGCAUGAGAGGAGAGUGGAAUUCCUAGUGUAGCGGUGAAAUGCGUAGAUAUUAGGAGGAACACCAGUUGCGAAGGCGGCUAUCUGGCCUGUAACUGACACUGAGGCACGAAAGCGUGGGGAGCAAACAGGAUUAGAUACCCUAGUAGUC